CACGUAGGGGGCAAGCGUUGUCCGGAUUUAUUGGGCGUAAAGAGCUCGUAGGCGGUUCGGUAAGUCGGGGGUGAAACCUCCAGGCUCAACCUGGAGACGCCACCUGAUACUGCUGUGACUCGAGUCCGGUAGGGGAGCGUGGAAUUCCUGGUGUAGCGGUGAAAUGCGCAGAUAUCAGGAGGAACACCAGCGGCGAAGGCGGCGCUCUGGGCCGGAACUGACGCUGAGGAGCGAAAGCGUGGGUAGCAAACAGG
rnacentral:rRNA from 1 species